CGUUAAUAUUGAUUCACUUAUAGGGUCUUUGCAUCGGAACUAAUCACAUUUAUUAAAAAACCAGUUGUUGGCAUGACACGGGUUAUGUUCUUCUCAUAUAUGUUAUGAUGGUAUGAUACUAAACCCCUAACGGGAAGGAUUGUGCCUGAUAUUCAUAUGAUGAAAUCAUAAUCUUUCAAUCAGUUUAAUUGAAGUCUGGAGCUGGCAUGUCAGUUAACUGCUAGUAGUCUGUUGUUAUUUAUGUAUUAUUGUCAUUUUGUUUAUUUUCUUUGGUUACAUCUUCUGACAUCAGACUCGGACUUCUCUUGAAUUGAAUUUUAAAUGUGCGUAUUGUUAUGCAUUUACUUUUCUACAUUGGCUAGAGGUAUAGGGGGAGGAUUGAGAUCUCAUAAACAUGUUUAACCCCGCCGCAUUUUUUGCGCCUGUCCCAAGUCAGGAGCCUCUGGCCUUUGUUAGUCUUGUAUUUUUUUAAUUUUAGUUUCUUGUGUACAAUUCGGAAAUUAGUAUGGCGUUCAUUAUCACUGAACUAGUAUAUAUUUGUUUAGGGGCCAGCUGAAGGACGCCUCCGGGUGCGGGAAUGUCUCGCUACAUUGAAGACCUGUUAGUGACCUUCUGCUGUUGUUUUUUCUAUGGUCGGGUUGUUGUCUCUUUGACACAUUCCCCAUUUCCAUUCUCAAUUUUACUAAUUUAAAAUCGGUAUUU
rnacentral:lncRNA from 1 species